rnacentral:rRNA from 1 species
GGUUAAGCGACUAAGCGUACACGGUGGAUGCCCUGGCAGUCAGAGGCGAUGAAGGACGUGCUAAUCUGCGAUAAGCGUCGGUAAGGUGAUAUGAACCGUUAUAACCGGCGAUUUCCGAAUGGGGAAACCCAGUGUGUUUCGACACACUAUCAUUAACUGAAUCCAUAGGUUAAUGAGGCGAACCGGGGGAACUGAAACAUCUAAGUACCCCGAGGAAAAGAAAUCAACCGAGAUUCCCCCAGUAGCGGCGAGCGAACGGGGAGCAGCCCAGAGCCUGAAUCAGUGUGUGUGUUAGUGGAAGCGUCUGGAAAGGCGCGCGAUACAGGGUGACAGCCCCGUACACAAAAAUGCACAUGCUGUGAGCUCGAUGAGUAGGGCGGGACACGUGGUAUCCUGUCUGAAUAUGGGGGGACCAUCCUCCAAGGCUAAAUACUCCUGACUGACCGAUAGUGAACCAGUACCGUGAGGGAAAGGCGAAAAGAACCCCGGCGAGGGGAGUGAAAAAGAACCUGAAACCGUGUACGUACAAGCAGUGGGAGCACGCUUAGGCGUGUGACUGCGUACCUUUUGUAUAAUGGGUCAGCGACUUAUAUUCUGUAGCAAGGUUAACCGAAUAGGGGAGCCGAAGGGAAACCGAGUCUUAACUGGGCGUUAAGUUGCAGGGUAUAGACCCGAAACCCGGUGAUCUAGCCAUGGGCAGGUUGAAGGUUGGGUAACACUAACUGGAGGACCGAACCGACUAAUGUUGAAAAAUUAGCGGAUGACUUGUGGCUGGGGGUGAAAGGCCAAUCAAACCGGGAGAUAGCUGGUUCUCCCCGAAAGCUAUUUAGGUAGCGCCUCGUGAACUCAUCUCCGGGGGUAGAGCACUGUUUCGGCAAGGGGGUCAUCCCGACUUACCAACCCGAUGCAAACUGCGAAUACCGGAGAAUGUUAUCACGGGAGACACACGGCGGGUGCUAACGUCCGUCGUGAAGAGGGAAACAACCCAGACCGCCAGCUAAGGUCCCAAAGUCAUGGUUAAGUGGGAAACGAUGUGGGAAGGCCCAGACAGCCAGGAUGUUGGCUUAGAAGCAGCCAUCAUUUAAAGAAAGCGUAAUAGCUCACUGGUCGAGUCGGCCUGCGCGGAAGAUGUAACGGGGCUAAACCAUGCACCGAAGCUGCGGCAGCGACGCUUAUGCGUUGUUGGGUAGGGGAGCGUUCUGUAAGCCUGCGAAGGUGUGCUGUGAGGCAUGCUGGAGGUAUCAGAAGUGCGAAUGCUGACAUAAGUAACGAUAAAGCGGGUGAAAAGCCCGCUCGCCGGAAGACCAAGGGUUCCUGUCCAACGUUAAUCGGGGCAGGGUGAGUCGACCCCUAAGGCGAGGCCGAAAGGCGUAGUCGAUGGGAAACAGGUUAAUAUUCCUGUACUUGGUGUUACUGCGAAGGGGGGACGGAGAAGGCUAUGUUGGCCGGGCGACGGUUGUCCCGGUUUAAGCGUGUAGGCUGGUUUUCCAGGCAAAUCCGGAAAAUCAAGGCUGAGGCGUGAUGACGAGGCACUACGGUGCUGAAGCAACAAAUGCCCUGCUUCCAGGAAAAGCCUCUAAGCAUCAGGUAACAUCAAAUCGUACCCCAAACCGACACAGGUGGUCAGGUAGAGAAUACCAAGGCGCUUGAGAGAACUCGGGUGAAGGAACUAGGCAAAAUGGUGCCGUAACUUCGGGAGAAGGCACGCUGAUAUGUAGGUGAAGCGACUUGCUCGUGGAGCUGAAAUCAGUCGAAGAUACCAGCUGGCUGCAACUGUUUAUUAAAAACACAGCACUGUGCAAACACGAAAGUGGACGUAUACGGUGUGACGCCUGCCCGGUGCCGGAAGGUUAAUUGAUGGGGUUAGCGCAAGCGAAGCUCUUGAUCGAAGCCCCGGUAAACGGCGGCCGUAACUAUAACGGUCCUAAGGUAGCGAAAUUCCUUGUCGGGUAAGUUCCGACCUGCACGAAUGGCGUAAUGAUGGCCAGGCUGUCUCCACCCGAGACUCAGUGAAAUUGAACUCGCUGUGAAGAUGCAGUGUACCCGCGGCAAGACGGAAAGACCCCGUGAACCUUUACUAUAGCUUGACACUGAACAUUGAGCCUUGAUGUGUAGGAUAGGUGGGAGGCUUUGAAGUGUGGACGCCAGUCUGCAUGGAGCCGACCUUGAAAUACCACCCUUUAAUGUUUGAUGUUCUAACGUUGACCCGUAAUCCGGGUUGCGGACAGUGUCUGGUGGGUAGUUUGACUGGGGCGGUCUCCUCCUAAAGAGUAACGGAGGAGCACGAAGGUUGGCUAAUCCUGGUCGGACAUCAGGAGGUUAGUGCAAUGGCAUAAGCCAGCUUGACUGCGAGCGUGACGGCGCGAGCAGGUGCGAAAGCAGGUCAUAGUGAUCCGGUGGUUCUGAAUGGAAGGGCCAUCGCUCAACGGAUAAAAGGUACUCCGGGGAUAACAGGCUGAUACCGCCCAAGAGUUCAUAUCGACGGCGGUGUUUGGCACCUCGAUGUCGGCUCAUCACAUCCUGGGGCUGAAGUAGGUCCCAAGGGUAUGGCUGUUCGCCAUUUAAAGUGGUACGCGAGCUGGGUUUAGAACGUCGUGAGACAGUUCGGUCCCUAUCUGCCGUGGGCGCUGGAGAACUGAGGGGGGCUGCUCCUAGUACGAGAGGACCGGAGUGGACGCAUCACUGGUGUUCGGGUUGUCAUGCCAAUGGCACUGCCCGGUAGCUAAAUGCGGAAGAGAUAAGUGCUGAAAGCAUCUAAGCACGAAACUUGCCCCGAGAUGAGUUCUCCCUGACUCCUUGAGAGUCCUGAAGGAACGUUGAAGACGACGACGUUGAUAGGCCGGGUGUGUAAGCGCAGCGAUGCGUUGAGCUAACCGGUACUAAUGAACCGUGAGGCUUAACCUU